AUUGGUUCUUAUAUUUACAAUAUCUUCAUUAAAAGAGUUUAAAAUCAAGUGUUAUUGGUUCUCAUAUUUCUAAUAUCUAUAUUAAAAGAGUUUGAAAUCUAGUGUUAUUGGUUAUCAUAUUUGAAAUCUAGUGUUAUUGGUUGUUUGACAGAUUUUCACAAAUGUUUUGAUUUGAAAAGAUAUGAAGAAAUCUGAAACUGAUUUCAUGUGUAAAUUAUAGUAAUCAAAAUCCUACCUUCUACUCAAGAUUUUCACAAUCAUAUUUUUGUAAUUAUAAAAUCUCAUUUAUGAGAAUAACCAAAAACCCUUUUUUUUCCUUUCACGUCUACUUUCUCGUUUUGACUUUCUUCUCUCCUUCCUCUUUUUUCUCCCUUUCACGGUAAAGUCUAUCUCUCUUCAUCAUUAUAGUCAUGGCUAGUUACUUUGAUUGAGAACAAAUUCAUUUUUAUCACAUUUGAUCUUACAAUUAUUAUAUUUUUAUUCUAGGCUUUUAUAUAAUGGAACAAAAUCUUUAUGAAGAAGAUGAAUCAGAUGUAGAUAUUAUGUUAUUGAUGGUGGUUGGAUUCGUUGAUGCUUAUAAAAGUCAAGUCCCACGUCCGAUGCGACGACAAAUCACGAAAAAGGGAGACGCUUAUAUACAAAAGGCUUUGAAAGAUGAUCCUAUUCAUUUUCGGCAACUAUAUCGUAUGAAUCCAGAGGUCUUUGCGGAUUUAUGUUAUCUUCUCCAAAUGAAGACAUGUUUGAAAGGUACACCACAUGUGUGUGUCGAAGAGAUGGUUGCUACUUUUUUGAUGACAGUGGGCCAAAAUUCAAGAUAUUGUCACACAAUAGACACUUUCAAAAGAUCAAAAUUCUCAACAAGUAUUAAUUUUCAUGAGGUUCUUAGAGCUUUAAACAUGCUUGCCCCAACAUUGAUGGCCAAGCCUACAAAUACAGUGCCCGCAAAAAUAAGUAAAAGCACAAGAUUUUAUCCUUACUUCAAGGAGAAUCACCUCUCUAACCCUUUGACCACAAAACUAAUCUUAAAAUGCCUUUUCCGAAAUUAUCAAUUUAUUUGUUCUUUUUUAAGUAGAUUUUCUGGUUAAAGACAAUCAUGACCUUAAAAAAACUUGUAAUUUACAGACCAAACCACCAAAAUCCCCACCCAAACUCAGAAACCCAUUUAAUUUCGGAUCCUCCUCUCUUUUCUCCAUCAUGUGUCCUUAAAAAAUUUUAAAACUCUAAACACUUAGGAGAAAUCGCGAAUCGAUUCCUCUUUCCCCAUUUCGUUCUCUUCUUCUUCGAGAAUACAACCGUGGAUAAUGAUGCAUGGGUACAAAGAACCCAAGCUAUCGUGAAGAACCAAAUCCAGCAUAUGAGAUCGUAGAAGAAGAUGAGAUCGUAGAAGAAGAAGACACUCGUGGAGAUGAAUCCCAAGAAAAUGAAUCUAAUCCUAGGGAACGGAAUCCGAGGAGGAAACCAAGUUAUGCAACCUCUGAAUAUGUACUUUGGUCCCGCCGAGUAUACAAAACCAUGUAAGAUUUCUAAGAAGUGUUAUAUUGCAAAGGCAGUGAGCCUAUUAAGAGGUCAUCUCCUACCCGAGGAGUUGGAUUGGUUCCUAUUGCACCCACAGUUCAAGUAUUUCUUCCAUAUGCCUAAAGACUCAAAUCAUAAGUUGAUGGGUAUGUGGAUGCUCUUUCUUCGCACGACGUGUUUAGAGAAGAAAAAAGAAUGCUGGUUCAUUUCGAAUGGGAUCUACUAUGGUCAUUCAGAGUCCUAUAAUAAUAAGGCAGAAGAAGCUUAAGGUUGUUAAUGAGUCAUAUGUGAACUCUUUGUGUUGUUGGUUAGUUGGUUGGUUUUUUGUUAUGUUUAUGAGUCAUUGUGGUUUGUCUAACUAGGUACACAUGGUUUUUGUUUAAGUACAACUUGCUCGGAAUGUCAAAUGAACUCUUUCUAUUGCUUAGUUUUCUAUGGAACGUGUUUUAUGUUGUGUU